UGAGGAAUAUUGGUCAAUGGGCGAGAGCCUGAACCAGCCAAGUCGCGUGAGGGAAGACGGUCCUACGGAUUGUAAACCUCUUUUGUCGGGGAACAACAGGGGGCACGCGUGCCUUUGUGAGUGUACCCGAAGAAAAAGCAUCGGCUAACUCCGUGCCAGCAGCCGCGGUAAUACGGAAGGUCCGGGCGUUAUCCGGAUUUAUUGGGUUUAAAGGGAGCGUAGGCCGCCUGGUAAGCGUGUUGUGAAAUGUCGUUGCUCAACAACGUCACUGCAGCGCGAACUGCCGGGCUUGAGUGUGCGGAAAGCGGGCGGAAUUUGUGGUGUAGCGGUGAAAUGCUUAGAUAUCACGAAGAACUCCGAUUGCGAAGGCAGCUCGCUGUAGCAUUACUGACGCUGAAGCUCGAAGGUGCGGGUAUCGAACAGGAUUAGAUACCCUGGUAGU
rnacentral:rRNA from 1 species